GACGAACGCUGGCGGCGUGCUUAACACAUGCAAGUCGAACGAAAAGAGGGAAAGAGCUUGCUCUUUCCGGAAUUGAGUGGCAAACGGGUGAGUAACACGUAAACAACCUGCCUUCAGGAUGGGGACAACAGACGGAAACGACUGCUAAUACCGAAUAAGUUCCAAGGGCCGCAUGGCCCAUGGAAGAAAAGGUGGCCUCUACCUGUAAGCUAUCGCCUGAAGAGGGGUUUGCGUCUGAUUAGCUGGUUGGAGGGGUAACGGCCCACCAAGGCGACGAUCAGAGGCCGGUCUGAGAGGAUGAACGGCCACACUGGGACUGAGACACGGUCCAGACUCCUACGGGAGGCAGCAGUGGGGAAUCUUCCGCAAUGGGCGAAAGCCUGACGGAGCAACGCCGCGUGAGUGAUGACGGCCUUCGGGUUGUAAAACUCUGUGAUCCGGGACGAAAAGGCAGAGUGCGAAGAACAAACUGCAUUGACGGUACCGGAAAAGCAAGCCACGGCUAACUACGUG
rnacentral:rRNA from 1 species